GAGCCCGAACCUACUGUGUACAGGCAGGUGCCAAGCAGCACGGGGAGCUUCAGCGUCUCUACCGCAGAUGGCUGAAGUUACCAUAAAUACGUAAGCUCUGCAUUGAAGAGCAGCCAAAACACAAGUGCUGACCAGCCCAGUCCAGAGGGAGAACCUGCUGACACACACAGAGGGGUGGGAACCCUUCUUCCCACACCCGGUUCAGUCGUCAGGCUGGACCUGACAAUUGGCGCGCGAACAGGGACCUGAGGACUUGGGAAGCAGACGGUGAGGAUCUCCUCCGGAUAAAGAGUGCACUC